UACGUAGGGUGCAAGCGUUUAAUCGGAAUUACUGGGCGUAAAGCGUGCGCAGGCGGUUCGCUAAGACAGAUGUGAAAUCCCCGGGCUUAACCUGGGAACUGCAUUUGUGACUGGCGGGCUAGAGUAUGGCAGAGGGGGGGUAGAAUUCCACGUGUAGCAGUGAAAUGCGUAGAGAUGUGGAGGAAUACCGAUGGCGAAGGCAGCCCCCUGGGCCAAUACUGACGCUCAUGCACGAAAGCGUGGGGAGCAAACAGG
rnacentral:rRNA from 1 species